GUGUGCCACGCGUGCACCGCCGGUCCCGUGCGCCAUUCGCACGCACCUGACGGCCGCUCGCUUCGCGUUGCUGGCU
rnacentral:sRNA from 1 species